rnacentral:lncRNA from 1 species
UUGGACGCUAUUAGCAGGUAGCUGGGGAAAAUAUCAAUCAACGUGAUAGUCGAUGCGGCGCACCAAGAUCACAUUGAUCCACUAUUUUAAGAUUCCAAAGGGGCUUCAAAAGAUGUUCAAAAAAUCCAAAACUUAUCCGGAAAUACCUACGGACAUUCCUAAUCAUAAAUCAACCUAAACAUCAACAUUUAAUGGACGUAAAGGUUGUAAAAUAAGAUUGCCAACUUUCGUAGGAUAAAAUGACACCAAGUUUGAGUACUUAGCUAAAAUAUGCUAAGUCUGGGACCCCUUGACAAGCCUAAAGGACUAAAUUAAACUUAGGAUUUUGCGGGGUCUUACAUUAUCUCCUCCUUGGGAAUAUUCAUCCUCGAAUGAGACUGCUGAGACUGCUGAGACUGAGAAUACUGAGAGUCUUACUUACUUACUAGACGUGAACAUUUGAAAUACGACUAUAUGACUGAUAUUACUAGUAUUCUGAAUUAUUAUACUGAACAUGCAUAUAUGAUGAAUGAGUAUAGCUGAACAUGAUUCAUAAAUGCAUGACUGGGAUUACUGAUAAACUAACUCUACAUACUGGACAUGCAUAUCUGAUGCAUGGAUACAUGACUGAACUGGCUCAUGAAUGUAUAACUAUACAUGUAAUGGUAACUACUACCAAGUUUGUAACUAAAAUCUGAAUAUGGAACUGAAUAAGCUUAAGGAAAACUAUUACCUUGAGUUGAGUAUGGAUUAGCGGAGAAUAGAUGAGGAUACUUGGUUUGCAUAUUUGCUUCUACUUCCCAAGUAGCUCCCUCAAUGGGCUGAUUCCACUAAAUAACUUUGACUAGAGGAACUUCUUUGUUCCUCAGUCUUCAUACCUGAUAGUCGAGGAUUUCGACUGGGAUCUCUUCAUAAGAGAGGCUAUUCUGAAUAUCUAUGCCCUCUAUAAGGACUAUGACUGCUAGGUCCCCUACGCAUUUCUUUAGCAAGGGGACGUGGAACACUGGACGAACAAAAGAUAGAUCUAAAGGCAACUCAAGCUAGUAAGCUACCUUUCCAAAAUGACUGAGAAUUAGGUAAGGACUGAAAUAUCGGGGACUAAGUUUCCCAUUCUUGCCAAACCUCUCCACUCCUUUCAAAGAAGAGAUUUUUAGAUACACAAAAUCACUAUUCUCUAACUCGAGAUCAUUUACUGUACACGCAUAAACGAGAACAUGAGAACAUACUGAGCCUGAAAUGAGUACAUGGGCUGAGUAUCUUGGGUCGAACUGAGCCCCUAAAUACGUGUCUUAUGGUUGAGAUUGAAACUUGAGGGUCAACCUAUGAGUACCCACUUUCCUAAUUUAAUUUGUUAUGUGUAGAGAAGCUGGGAGGUUUAGGGAAUGAAAGCUCAGAGGUUAUAAUGCAUCUCUCUCUUGGGACAUUAUGUCCCUCGAAGAAUACUAACUUAGCUUAGAUACUGAGGAAAAUGCUAGGAUGAUGCACCAGGCACCUAUGAAUUAAGUCAUGACUGAGUAUCUAGGAUCCAAAACUGAGACAUGAAACAUAAACUGAGCUGAUCACGCAACCACCUGGUUUCCCCAUCUUAGAAUAGUCACAUUCAUGAGACUUCGGAUAGUGGGGAAAGUUGGGAAAUCAAGCCAAACAAAUUUGUCCACCCGACUGCUAAACUAAAUUUCUAGAUUUACGAACUAACUUAUGCUGAAAACUCAUGCUCGACUGGAGCAUUUCCUUGACGCUCUUUCUAUAGAGUUUCUAGUGACUUUAGGGAGUAAAGAAUAUUUGCCUAGGCUGAAUGAACUUUCCAAAUAAGAAGUCAUAUUCUAGAUAAAUCUCUAUAAUAUAUGGUGAGGCCUGCGAAACCUCAUCUAAGAUAGAGUGACUAAGCCUCAUGCAUUGCAACUAAGAUUUUCAAACUUAGACAUAUCCCUUGGAUACCCUCUUAACUAUACUUUCCACCUUAGCACGACGCUCCACCCAAGACUACUGAAAAUAUUCACAUGGGCGUUAAGCACGAAUGCAUGAAUAUACUGUCUUAUCAGAUUAACUAAACGACUGAUAGCUGAAUACUGGUCAUGCAAGAUCAAACUAUUCUUAGUCUGAAUAACUGGGUUAAAAAUGUAGAGUAUUAAGCAUAUGAGGUAAGAACUGAGUAACAUGAGACAACUGAGCAUGAAUUUAUGGAGGACUGUACUGUUUGAAAGUGUAAGACCAAACGUAUAACAUGGUUCCAAAAUAGUCUGUAAACUGGGGUGCUAAAAUACUAAUAUCUGAAUAACUGAUAAUUGUACGCUAUAGUCAAGCAAACUAAAACUGAACUGAUUUACUAAUUUGAUUACUAGAAUGGGACUGGGGCCGUAACUAAGACGGUAGUUGCGACUUUAAUUGAGACUGUAAUUGGGACUGUAACUGAGACUCAUACUGGAACUGUAACUGAGACUCAUACUGGAACUGAAUACUGAG